UGCUGCAAUGUUGCUUGAUUUGGAGCCCUUGUUAUUUGAACUUUCCAGACAUCUAGAUCGAAAGGGCAGCUGAAAGUUUGGAUUGAGUAAAUAGUAUAUCUGUUUAGAUUUUAGAUCAAGAUGUGACAUUGGACUCGUUAAUUCGAAGUUCUAGCCAGUUAUGGUAUUGUUGGACAGUUAUGGUUGGAUGCAGCUUUGAUUUCUGGCGACACGAAAUAGGCCUUACUCGAAUCGGAUUCAAGGGUAGAUCUGGAAGCUUGGAGUUAUGUCUGCUUAUGGCCAUCAAAUGGAGCAGAACUAUUCUGCAAGGAGUCUCUCUAGUGGUUCUGAGAUGAAGAUGAAGAUUAUUCCACAAACAAAAUGAUGACUUCAAUUGUUGAGAGUCCAGGACAACCUGAUAGCUUGCUAUAGCACUCUUGCUAUUGGAUAUGUGUAUGAUACACAGCACGGUCGAGUUACUUUGUUCCUUCCUCUUCAAACCCCACAAUCAAAUUCAGUCCAGCUAUCUACUUCAGAGGAUGCAGAAGAUUCACCAGAGCAGAGGUGGAGUCUCUCCAUAGGAAUAAAACAUGGGUUUUAGUUAAACCGCCUAAAGACAAGAAAAUUGUUGGCUGCAAAUGGGUCUUCAAAAGGAAGGAGUCCUCUCCGGGAGAUGAAGGAGUCAAGUAUAAGGCUCGCUUAGUUGCAAAAGGAUACAGUCAGGUACCAGGUGUAGAUUUUAAUGAGGUUUUCUCACCUGUAGUAAAACACUGUUCCAUUCGGGUUCUGCUCGCAUUGGUAGCCAUGUUUGACUUGGAGUUGGAACAGUUGGAUGUCAAAACAGCUUUUCUACAUGGUGAUUUGGAGGAGCUGAUUUAUA